AACAAGGCGUACCUGCGGACCUGCGGAGGGAUCAUUACCGAGUGUGAACCCCCCCGUAAAAAAGAGGGGUUACCUCCCGUCCUUUGCUGGGAACCCCUUUCCAACUUGGAAGGAGGUUGUUUUCAGACCCUUCUGCUUCGGUGGGGUAACCCACCGGAACAACCUCAAAAAUAUUCUCAAUUCAAAACCGUUCAGUCCGAGAACUUUUUUGAAAAGCGAAAAAACUUUCAACAACGGAUA
rnacentral:misc_RNA from 1 species